rnacentral:rRNA from 1 species
AAAACAUUUCCUUUAGGGUUGAUUAAAGGUGAGGUCUGCUCAAUGAAAAUUAAAUGGCCGCAGUAUGAUGACUGUGCUAAGGUAGCAUAAUAAUUUGUCUUUUAAUUGGGGACUGGAAUGAAGGAUUUUAUGGAAGAUAGCUGUUUCAGCAAAAGUUAUAUUGAAUUUAAGGUUUUUAUAAAAACUUAGAAGGGAUCUUAAGGGACGAGAAGACCCUGUGGAUUUUUACUUCUUACAGAGAUGAAUUUUAUGAGUUUUUAUUUUUGGAUGAAGUUUGGUUGGGACGACAGUAGGAAGGUAACUUUAUUAUAAGAUAAUGGGAUCCUUAUUAAGGAAAAAAGAAUAAAUUACCCCAGGGAUAACAGCGUAAUGUUUUUGGACAGGGCAUAUGGAUAAAAAUGUUUGCGACCUCGAUGUUGAAUUAAAAUUUCUUUAUUAAGUACAAAUAAUAAUAGUAAGUCUGUUCGACUUUAAAAAUUUUACGUGAUCU